GCCGCGGUAGCCUAGCCUGGUAGGGCGCCGGCCUGCUAAGCCGGUGGCCGUUGGCCACAGGGGUUCAAAUCCCCUCCGCGGCGCCA
rnacentral:tRNA from 12 species